GACGAACGCUGGCGGCGUGCUUAACACAUGCAAGUCGUACGGUAAGGCCCUUUCGGGGGUACACGAGUGGCGAACGGGUGAGUAACACGUGAGUAACCUGCCCACAACUUUGGGAUAACGCUAGGAAACUGGUGCUAAUACUGGAUAUGUGCCCCUGCUGCAUGGAGGGGGUUGGAAAGCUCCGGCGGUUGUGGAUGGACUCGCGGCCUAUCAGCUUGUUGGUGGGGUAGUGGCCUACCAAGGCGGCGACGGGUAGCCGGCCUGAGAGGGUGACCGGCCACAUUGGGACUGAGAUACGGCCCAGACUCCUACGGGGGGCAGCAGUAGGGAAUAUUGCACAAUGGGCGCGAGCCUGAUGCAGCAACGCCGCGUGCGGGAUGACGGCCUUCGGGUUGUAAACCGCUUUCAGCAGGGACGAAGCUUUUUGUGACGGUAACUGCAGAAGAAGCACCGGCUAACUACGUG
rnacentral:rRNA from 1 species